GAUGAACGCUAGCUACAGGCUUAACACAUGCAAGUCGAGGGGUAACGAGAGGAAAGCUUGCUUUCCUUGUCGACGACCGGCGCACGGGUGAGUAACGCGUAUCCAACCUGCCCCCAACUAGGGAAUAACCUUGCGAAAGUAAGACUAAUACCCUAUAAUUUCCUCAGAUGCCAUCUGACGAGGAAUAAAGCUUUAUCGGUUGUGGAUGGGGAUGCGUCUGAUUAGCUUGUGGGCGGGGUAACGGCCCACCAAGGCAAGGAUCAGUAGGGGUUCUGAGAGGAAGGUCCCCACCAUUGGAACUGAGACACGGUCCAAACUCCUACGGGAGGCAGCAGUGAGGAAUAUUGGUCAAUGGGCGGAAGCCUGAACCAGCCAAUUAGCGUGCAGGAUGACGGCCCUAUGGGUUGUAAACUGCUUUUAUACAGGAAUAAAGUUAGCCACGUGAGGUUAUUUGUAGGUACUGUAUGAAUAAGGACCGGCUAAUUCCGUGCCAGCCGCCGCCGUAA
rnacentral:rRNA from 1 species